rnacentral:rRNA from 1 species
CAAUAGCGUAUAUUAAAGUUGUUGCAGUUAAAAAGCUCGUAGUUGGACUUCUGCGGGUGGCGGCCGGUCGUGCUCGAAACGGGCGUGAACUUGGCGUGCUGCCCGCAUCUUUGGGGAGAUUGUGCGUGGCAUUAAGUUGUCGUGCAUGGGAUUCCCAUCAUUUACUGUGAAAAAAUUAGAGUGUUUAAAGCAGGCCUUUGCCUUGAAUACAUUAGCAUGGAAUAAUAAGAUAGGACCGUUGUCUAUUUUGUUGGUUUACAGAUGUCGGUAAUGAUUAAUAGGGAUAGUUGGGGGUAUUCGUAUUCAGUUGUCAGAGGUGAAAUUCUUGGAUUUUCGGAAGACGCACGACUGCGAAAGCAUUUACCAAGGAUGUUUNCAUUAA